UACGGAGGGUGCGAGCGUUGUCCGGAAUCAUUGGGCGUAAAGGGCGCGUAGGUGGCGCGGUAAGCGUGCGGUGAAAAGCCCUGGGGCUCAACCCCGGGUCGGCCGUGCGAACUGCUGGGCUUGAGCACUGUAGAGGCAGGCGGAAUUCCGGGUGUAGCGGUGGAAUGCGUAGAGAUCCGGAAGAACACCGGUGGCGAAGGCGGCCUGCUGGGCAGUUGCUGACACUGAGGCGCGACAGCGUGGGGAGCAAACAGG
rnacentral:rRNA from 1 species